UCCUAAAAAAAUAAGGAUAAUAGAAAGAGGCAAACAUUUCCUCACACCGGUGGAUCCAAGAGCAUUGUAAGAAAGAGACAUGAGAUGGAACAAGAGUGUGGUCGUAAAGUUAGUAGGGGAGAUGUAUGGAUAACAACACAUAAACAUGCUAAUGGAGAAUUUGUAAAUGAUGAAGCAAGGGAAAUUAGUGGGAAAAAUUAAAGUAUAUGAAUCAAAUGCACCAUCAUUUUCACAAGACAUAUCAACUCAAGAUUCCCUAACACAUGCUUUAGGAAGUCAAGAACAUUGUGGAUGUGUUCGAAGGAUGGGAUUGGGACCUUGCCCAUCUCGCUUGUUUCGAUACACUAGGCAUUCUCAUAAUGGGAUGGCUUCAUCUUCUUCUUAUAGACAAUUACAAAAUGAGGUUUCUGAUCAAGGGAGUGUACCAACUAAUGAAACAAAUUCUCAACAUGGAGAUGAGCAUAUUUGAUCGUUGAUGAUGAGUAUACUAUCUAAGUUGUAGAUGAUUUUCUUUUAUUUUUGGAAAUUUGAUA